UUUUUCACAAAGGUAUGGUUUCCGGAAGCCACCAUAUGUGGAGCUGAAAGCUCGGCCAAAACUUGGAGAGAGAGAAGUAACUUUAGUUCACGUGACAGAGUGGAUAGAGAAGAAACUGGAGCAGGAGCUUCAGAAAGUCUUUGUCAUGCCAAACAUGGAUGAUGUUUAUAUCCCCAUAAUGCACUCGGCCAUGGACCCUCGCUCCACUUCCUGCCUCUUGAAAGAGCCACCUGUGGAGGCCUCCGACUAGCUGUGAUUGAUGAAGACGGGACAUUCCCAGUAUUAUGAGACCCAGCUCAAGGUGUGGGAUUUGUGGCUGCCAUCUGUGCUGUGGGGGUAGCCUUUACUGGUGCCACAGCCACUGUCUCUAAAAGGACUGCUUCUGCCC
rnacentral:lncRNA from 1 species